UUUUUUUUUUUUUUUUUUGUGGGGGGUGUGUACGUUAUCACUGUUGCAGAAUGCCAAUUCGUUCCCGGUCCUCAUCUCAAGGAUGUUAAACGCGCACAUAUGAUGCAUAACAUGGAAGCAUGGACGACUAUAAGCAUAUUAGAGGAAGUAUUUUUUUAAUCCAUUUUGAUAAAUCUCCAGUACACUCGCACAUCUGGUUCG
rnacentral:lncRNA from 1 species